rnacentral:misc_RNA from 1 species
GAUGAAGAACGUAGCGAAAUGCGAUAAGUAAUGUGAAUUGCAGAAUUCAGUGAAUCAUCGAAUCUUUGAACGCACCUUGCACCCUUUGGCAUUCUGAAGGGUAUGCUCGUUUGAGUGUCAUUGUACUCUCACACUCCCGAUCUUUGCAUUGGGAGCAGUGGACUUGGGUUUGCUGCUUCACCGUCGCUUACCUCAAAUAGGUUAGUGCAACUCUUGGUUGGACAUAGUACGGCGUGAUAAGUGUUCUUCGCCGGUGCCUCGCAAAGAGGGUGGCCGAUCGGGAUGUUGUGCUCCAAACCGUCUUCGGACAAUCUCUGACGACUUGACCUCAAAUCGAGUAAGACUACCCGCUGAACUUAAGCAUAUCAAUAACGGAGGA